rnacentral:rRNA from 1 species
ACGGGAGGCAGCAGUGGGGAAUAUUGGACAAUGGGGGAAACCCUGAUCCAGCGACGCCGCGUGAGUGAAGAAGUAUUUCGGUAUGUAAAGCUCUAUCAGCAGGGAAGAUAAUGACGGUACCUGACUAAGAAGCCCCGGCUAACUACGUGCCAGCAGCCGCGGUAAUACGUAGGGGGCAAGCGUUAUCCGGAUUUACUGGGUGUAAAGGGAGCGUAGACGGUAUGGCAAGUCUGAUGUGAAAACCCAAGGCUCAACCAUGGGACUGCAUUGGAAACUGUCAAACUAGAGUGCAGGAGGGGUAAGCGGAAUUCCUAGUGUAGCGGUGAAAUGCGUAGAUAUUAGGAGGAACACCGGUGGCGAAGGCGGCUUACUGGACUGUAACUGACGUUGAGGCUCGAAAGCGUGGGGAGCAAACAGGAUUAGCCUGGUA